rnacentral:rRNA from 1 species
GACGAACGCUGGCGGCGUGCUUAACACAUGCAAGUCGAACGGAUAGGCCCUGCUUGCAGGGUACUCGAGUGGCGAACGGGUGAGUAACACGUGGGUGAUCUGCCCUGCACUUCGGGAUAAGCUUGGGAAACUGGGUCUAAUACCGGAUAGGAGCCAUCUUUAGUGUGGUGGUUGGAAAGUUUUUUCGGUGUAGGAUGAGCUCGCGGCCUAUCAGCUUGUUGGUGGGGUAAUGGCCUACCAAGGCGGCGACGGGUAGCCGGCCUGAGAGGGUGUACGGCCACAUUGGGACUGAGAUACGGCCCAGACUCCUACGGGAGGCAGCAGUGGGGAAUAUUGCACAAUGGGCGCAAGCCUGAUGCAGCGACGCCGCGUGGGGGAUGAAGGCCUUCGGGUUGUAAACUCCUUUCGCUAGGGACGAAGCUUUGUUGUGACGGUACCUAGAUAAGAAGCACCGGCUAACUACGUG